AGCUACACACAAAUAAAACUCGUCUUGUUUUCUUUUCUAGUGCGAAAGAAACUAAAUUCCUCUCUUUUUAUGUAUUUAUUUGUUUGGCAUUAUAAAUGUGUGUGUGACUUCACAACCUAUAACAAAUGUUUCCGACGAUGGUUACGUCUCCUGGUUCGGGCAGUGGAACAGCUGACAAACAAUUCAUUAGUUUAAUAAUUUUAAUUAUAAACUAAAUUUGAAAUAGUUUUACUCACCGUUGGCCACAGCCAGCAGACCGAGUACGAAGACGGUGACGACUGAGAAGAAUUUCAUAUUGAUUCUGGAUUGGUUUCUCCGGUUUUGGAUUUUGGAGUGUACUGAGCAAUCGAUUGGAUUCAACUGAUGUCAAAUUUGUCCAAAUCCACUGCUUAAAAAGACGUGCGUCGAAUCAAAAAGCCAUGCGAAUUCAGUGAUAAGCCACGCAUUUGGGAAAGUUUUUGGUGAUUGCUGACUUGUGGAAAGCCCAAUGAUUUAUAAAUAUUCUUGGACAUUAUCUGUUACUCCCGUGUUUUUCAUUGCCGAGAUAUGAUGGUACAGCUUUAUAAAUAAAUAGUGCUGCGAUUGAGGGAUCACAUUCAUUAGAAUCAAUUGUCGCUGCGAUGAAGUGGUUUUCGAUUUUGGUUCCCCUACUGGCGUUUACUUUCCUCGUCGAAUUCGGAUAUGCUGCAACAUACCUGGUAACAUGAGAAACGAACUUUAUUGGAAUAGAGAGGCACGCCAAUGGAUUUAUGUCCAAACUUUUACCCAAUUAACCUUAUCGACUGACAACAUUAACGUUAACGGAGACUGCCAUGGCUGCCUAGUAUACACGGAAGGAAACUUGUCUAUUUUAUUAAGGAACGUUCCUAUAUAUAGGUGAAAUAAAAUUAUAAGUAUUAACU